rnacentral:rRNA from 1 species
GAUGAACGCUGACAGAAUGCUUAACACAUGCAAGUCAACUUGAACUUCGGUUUGGGUGGCGGACGGGUGAGUCACGCGUAAAGAACUUGCCUCACAGAUAGGGACAACAUUUGGAAACGAAUGCUAAUACCUGAUAUUAUGAUUUUAGGGCAUCCUAGGAUUAUGAAAGCUAUAUGCGCUGUGAGAGAGCUUUGCGUCCCAUUAGCUAGUUGGAGAGGUAACGGCUCACCAAGGCGAUGAUGGGUAGCCGGCCUGAGAGGGUGAUCGGCCACAAGGGGACUGAGACACGGCCCUUACUCCUACGGGAGGCAGCAGUGGGGAAUAUUGGACAAUGGACCAAGAGUCUGAUCCAGCAGUUCUGUGUGCACGAUGAAGUUUUUCGGAAUGUAAAGUGCUUUCAGUUGGGAAGAAAAAAAUGACGGUACCAACAGAAGAAGUGACGGCUAAAUACGUG